UACAGAGGUCUCAAGCGUUGUUCGGAUUCAUUGGGCGUAAAGGGUGCGUAGGUGGCGGGGCAAGUCAGGUGUGAAAUCUCGGGGCUCAACCCCGAAACUGCACUUGAUACUGCCUUGCUCGAGUACUGGAGAGGAGACUGGAAUUUACGGUGUAGCAGUGAAAUGCGUAGAUAUCGUAAGGAAGACCAGUGGCGAAGGCGGAUCUCUGGGCAGUUCCUGACACUGAGGCACGAAGGCCAGGGGAGCAAACGGG
rnacentral:rRNA from 1 species